AUACGGAGGGUGCAAGCGUUAUUCGGAUUUACUGGGUUUAAAGGGUCCGCAGGCGGGAAAAUAAGUCAGUGGUGAAAGCCUACAGCUCAACUGUAGAACUGCCAUUGAUACUGUUUUUCUUGAGUAUAGAUGAAGUGGGCGGAAUAUAUCAUGUAGCGGUGAAAUGCAUAGAUAUGAUAUAGAACACCGAUUGCGAAGGCAGCUCACUAAACUAUUACUGACGCUCAGGGACGAAAGCGUGGGGAGCGAACAGGAUUAGAAACCCUAGUAGUCC
rnacentral:rRNA from 1 species